rnacentral:rRNA from 1 species
GACGAACGCUGGCGGCGUGCUUAACACAUGCAAGUCGAACGAAGAGCGAUGGAAGCUUGCUUCUAUCAAUCUUAGUGGCGAACGGGUGAGUAACGCGUAAUCAACCUGCCCUUCAGAGGGGGACAACAGUUGGAAACGACUGCUAAUACCGCAUACGAUCUAAUCUCGGCAUCGAGGAUAGAUGAAAGGUGGCCUCUACAUGUAAGCUAUCACUGAAGGAGGGGAUUGCGUCUGAUUAGCUAGGUGGAGGGGUAACGGCCCACCAAGGCGAUGAUCAGUAGCCGGUCGGAGAGGAUGAACGGCCACAUUGGGACGGAGACACGGCCCAGACUCCUACGGGAGGCAGCAGUGGGGAAUCUUCCGCAAUGGACGAAAGUCUGACGGAGCAACGCCGCGUGAGCGAUGACUGCCUUCGGGUUGUAAAGCUCUGUUAAUCGGGACGAAAGGCCUUCUUGCGAAUAGUGAGAAGGAUUGACGGUACCGGAAUAGAAAGCCACGGCUAACUACGUG